UACGGGGGAGCAAGCGUUGUUCGGAUUACUGGGCGUAAAGGGCGCGGUAGGCGGUCGUGACAAGGUCACUUGUGAAAUCUCCGGGCUUAACUCGGAAACGGUCAAGUGAUACUGUCGGACUAGAGUAACAGAAGGGGCAACUGGAAUUCUCGGGUGUAGCGGUGAAAUGCGUAGAGUAUCGAAGAGGAACACCUGCGGCGAAGGCGGGUUGCCUGGGCUGAAUACUGACGCUGAGGCGCGAAAGCUAGGGGAGCAAACGGG
rnacentral:rRNA from 1 species